AAUUAUUGGGCGUAAAGAGCUCGUAGGCGGUUUGUCGCGUCUGCUGUGAAAGCCCGGGGCUCAACCCCGGGUCUGCAGUGGGUACGGGCAGACUAGAGUGCAGUAGGGGAGACUGGAAUUCCUGGUGUAGCGGUGAAAUGCGCAGAUAUCAGGAGGAACACCGAUGGCGAAGGCAGGUCUCUGGGCUGUUACUGACGCUGAGGAGCGAAAGCAUGGGGAGCGAACAGGAUUAGAUACCCUGGUAGUCCAUGCCGUAAACGUUGGGCACUAGGUGUGGGGGACAUUCCACGUUUUCCGCGCCGUAGCUAACGCAUUAAGUGCCCCGCCUGGGGAGUACGGCCGCAAGGCUAAAACUCAAAGGAAUUGACGGGGGCCCGCACAAGCGGCGGAGCAUGCGGAUUAAUUCGAUGCAACGCGAAGAACCUUACCAAGGCUUGACAUUCACCGGACCGCCCCAGAGAUGGGGUUUCCCUUCGGGGCUGGUGGACAGGUGGUGCAUGGUUGUCGUCAGCUCGUGUCGUGAGAUGUUGGGUUAAGUCCCGCAACGAGCGCAACCCUCGUUCUAUGUUGCCAGCACGUGAUGGUGGGGACUCAUAGGAGACUGCCGGGGUCAACUCGGAGGAAGGUGGGGAUGACGUCAAAUCAUCAUGCCCCUUAUGUCUUGGGCUUCACGCAUGCUACAAUGGCCGGUACAAAGGGUUGCGAUACUGUGAGGUGGAGCUAAUCCCAAAAAGCCGGUCUCAGUUCGGAUUGAGGUCUGCAACUCGACCUCAUGAAGUCGGAGUCGCUAGUAAUCGCAG
rnacentral:rRNA from 1 species